AUAAAUGUACGCCUAGAGAGAGUCUUAAACUACUUGAUCUAGUGCUGUAUAUAACCACCUGUUUACCUUUACCUGUUGCUUCCGUGGAAUUACGGGUGCUCUAUCUGUUCGCAGACUUGAGUUACCUUCCACGGGUGUAUUUAAAAAAUUGUCUUGCUGAAUUGUCUGAUAUAAAAUUUUAAUAAGUUA
rnacentral:misc_RNA from 1 species